AUUGAACGCUGGCGGCAGGCCUAACACAUGCAAGUCGCACGAGUGGCGGACGGGUGAGUAAUGUCUGGGAAACUGCCAGAUGGAGGGGGAUAACUACUGGAAACGGUAGCUACUACCGCCUACCAUCGGAUGUGCCCAGAUGGGAUUAGCUAGUAGGUGGGGUAACGGCUAACCUAGGCGACGAUCCCUAGCUGGUCUGAGAGGAUGACCAGCCACACUGGAACUGAGACACGGUCCAGACUCCUACGUGAGGCAGCAGUGGGGAGUAGUGCACAAUGGGCGCAAGCCUGAUGCAGCCAUGCCGCUUGUAUGAAGAAGGCCGUCGGGUUGUAAAGUACUUUCAGCGAUGAGGCGUUACUCGCAGAAGAAGCACCGGCUAACUCCGUGCCAGCAGCCGCGGUAAUAC
rnacentral:rRNA from 1 species